GAAGGGAAGAAAAAGAAAAUGAAACUCCAAAAAGCACAUAUUGUAUGAUUACCUUUACAUGUAGUUCAAACAGGCAAACGUAAAGUAUAAGGAUAGAUGUCAGGGUAACGAUUCUUUCUGGGGAGGUUGUCUGGGAUAGGGCAAAGUAGAAGCUUCUGGGAGGCAGGAAUUUUUAAAAUCUUGGUCCAACUGUAGACAUAUAUAAAAAUUCAUCAUUUUCUUCUUAAGUCUUUUGUGUAUAUUUCACAUAUAACCAAAAAUUAAGGGAAAGGAUUAUUCUGGUAAGAUAUAUCCCAAACUUCCAAUAGUGAGGGAGUAGGAGAAAUACGAUUAUAGGGAGAAACAGGAUGGAGAAUAUCACUAUGCCUAACCUGUUUGGGAAAAAUAUUUUUUUGCAAUCAUUGUAUAGUAGCAGAUAAAAAGGAAUUCUAUUUUGGAAAAAUAUUAAAUGAAUAAAUAAGCAGUAGGGGAGGGAAUGCAUCUAAUGAACAAUGUAGUAUUGUAAGGAGAUGAAGAUGGUGUGGGAAGGGGGUCUUUGGGACAGUGGAUGAUUGUGAAGAGCAGGGUAAUUUCAUAACACUUGGGGAGGACUGUGGUUGUAUCCACUCCCUUCCUCACUGGGCAUCAUCCUGGGGCCUGCAAGCUGGAUGUUUCCAUUCAGGCCUCUUUCCCUAAUACUUAGGGCAAAUCACAAUCCCACACAUAGUAAAAUCUAAAUUGAUGGUUUGAAUAUGUCCAUUUCAGACAUAUUUGUUACCUGUGGGAUUGAGUCACCCAGGAAGUCUUGGCAUACCCACACUCCAGUGUUUGUUUCACCAUUGAUGGAUAUGGCUCUAGGUGCAGGGCUGAUGCUAGAUGUACCACCUCCACCCCCAUUCACUGGCUCCCUGUAGACUUUACCCAAGCCUCCUCCUGUAGUCCCUGUCACCCCAUCCAGUGGCCUGACAACACAAGCUGGCCAGCUUGGUGGGCCUAUAAGUUCUCUGUGAUCACUUUUUAUCUGUACAUGAGUGGACUGACCUCUUUUAGGGUUCCUGCAGAAACUGUUGGGUGAGAUUUGUUUUUUAGUGGGAAGGGCCCAAGUCAGAUUCCAUGCACUUGCUCACCACCUCCUUGAUGUGCCCUGGCGGUUGUUCUUAUCCCCUGGUCUGCCUUAAUCAUUGGCUAAACACCGUAUAGUUUCCAGAGAAGGAAGAACAAAUUAACUGGUGAAAAAAGCUGCUGUGCACAGUCUCUUUUGUUGUAUAUAAUUGCUUAAAUACUUAUGAAGGGAAUAAAAUAAAGUCAAAGGUAAGGAAGGACUUCUUUUCUUGUGGCAAUGAGAAUAUGGCUUUGGAGAUUGCUUACAGCUUUCAUGAGUUAGAAUCAUUUUACUUUUCCAGCCAGACUUUGAAGUAGGGACUAUAGUCUACAUCUUACAGAUGAGAAAAUGGAGAUUGGGUAGGUUCAAUCACUCACCCAAAGUAACAAAACCAGUUCCACCAUGGAUGGAACCAGACAUGUCUCCUGGCCUAAUGCUUUUUCUCUACCAGUGAGAGCUCAACCUGCUCAGAAUUUGCUGUGUCAUAAGAGAAUUAUUUGACUAGAGAAGGCCCUGUUCUUUCUUCUCUUUCUAGCUUCACCUGAAAGAUCUAGUACAGCCCUCACCUGUGGGUUUUCUCUGGGCCUUUUCUUGACCUUCUGCACCCUCAUCCCCCUCCCUACUUCUGCUGUGAUGGCAGGGCCCCUCCCUUCCCACUCAGCCUCUGGAUGAAUCAGGUAUUUUUACAGUGAACAUAUGUUAUUUCCAUAACCAAGGAAAUUAAAAUGCCAAUAUUUUAAUAUCAACAAUUGCAACCUCAAAUUUCAUAAACAAAGGAACUAAAACUCAGAGAGAAUAUGCCUGGUUCAAGGUUACAUGAUGUGUUUCCAGUGGAACUGGCCAAGUUCGGAUCUCAUGGCUUCUGUCCCCAUGGCUCUUCCCCUGGUGCAAGGCCUGGUUAAGAGAGUGGUCAAGCUUAUCAGAAGUUUCUUAGGCAGGACUUUGGGGUUUGUUGUUCAACCUUCAUAGGAUACCUGGCUUUCUUCAGUGUUACAAUGCAAUGAGCAGGCAAUGUUGGGGGAGACACAAUUUGAAACAAAGAAAAUGUCUUUGUUUGGCUUUUAAUAUACAAAUACACAUCGUCAUUUCCUUUCCAUAAAGAGCCCUUUCCCACAGUUUAUAGGAAAAUGUUUUGUAACUGUUGACACAGCUCAUUAAUUGGUUCUUUGAAGAGUUAGUUGCCAUGACCCUUGGCGCAACCCAAAAAUACCUCUGAUAAUUAAGAUGUCUUUAUAUGUCUAGUCACACCCUGAACUGCUAGGAGAGCACAUUGGUCCAGGAUGGGUAGUCAGCAAUAAAGUUUCAGAUACGUACAGUUGUAUUCCCUGGGGCCCGACAGAGUCUUUCUGUGCAGGCUCACAAAGUCAUCUCAUGAGCACCUCACUGUGCUUGGGGUUGUCAAAGCAAUCAUCAACAGCUGUCUUUACUUUCUAGGAACUAACAGAUUUAAAAUCUUAAAACCUCAAGUUUAAGGUACUUUGUUGUUGAGACUUGAAACAUAAGUCAAGAGAUCUCCAUGUCCAACAUAGCACUUUUGUACCACUUUCUUCUUUGGCUCCCCUCAUUCCUUAAUAGAUGUCUGUUCUUCAGGGAACAUUUGAUCAUAUAGACCAUAUUCAGUCCUUCAUACAUAGCAUGUAAGGGCUUUUUCAAGAGUACUUUAUUAUGAUUUUUUGGCAUUGCUGCCUGGAAUACAAGUUGUUGUUGUUUUUUCUUUUGGUUCUACUGAACUGAGUUAAAUCUAUAACUAUACCUGCAGUUGGGAGUAACAAAUGCAACCUUAAAGGCUUUGCCAACUUAUGGAAUAAAAAGGCCACUGUUGAAAUGAUUAUUUGACUCAUAAAGGCAGAGAGCCUCAUGUUUCUCAACUAGUAAUUGUCCAUAUUGGAAGAUGAUCUAGGUGAACUCAUUGGAAAGGAGCCUAUCAUGUGAUAAAGGUGGCCUUUCCAAAGAUCAAAAGUUUUGAGAACCUCCCACAGUCAAAAAUCAGGGCAAAGAUUUAGAUUUAGCAUGGAAAGUAAGAGGCCAAUAAUGGAAACACUUGGAGUUCAGCUGGUGUUCAGCGAGGAUCUCCUCUAUUCCUCCUCCUCCAUGAGGGGGUCCUGUAUGGCAUGUUUGUCAAUUCCUGAUAAGAUUGCUGUAUUGUAAGUGCUUCGUGGUUGAGAAGGGAAUUGGGGAGACACAAGAUGGAGGGAGCACAAAAUGCUUGAGAAAGCUUUCUGAAAGAAUGGGACUUCAGAAUGCUGGUGCCUGGCGAGGCUCAGAAAAGCAGAAAGAUGAGGCAGGGAGUGGAACAAAGGAUAGUCUAAGGCUACUGAGAUACCUGACAGAUGUGUAUGGAGAAUGUUGUGAGGAUAGUGAGAAGAGUCUGUACAAUCCUGGAAGGUCAGCCAUACUGUCCUGGGCAGUUUUAAUAUUUGGUUCAGAAACUCUGCAACCUGGAAAAGGAAUGAGUGUGUCAUUCAUCCGAUUGUCUUCAGACCAGUUAGGGCUGCCUGUGAAUAGUGUGAAGGAGUAUCCCGACUGAGGACCUCACAUUCACGCCUUUCAUCCAAGGCAGCACAGCCCUUUUCUGAUGAACUUCCACCUAGGAUUUCACUUAAAGAAAACAAUUCUAAUGUACAGUUUAAAAGUUGGAAUCCACCAAUCCUAUGUUAAAUAUAGGGAAUCUGAGGUUCAGAGGAAUGAGUCAACUCCUUUUUAGGUUAUACAGCUAGCUUAAAGACAGAGCUUCUAGACUGUGAAGCCAGUCAAAGACAGCCUCUCUUAUGUCUUAUCCAGUAACUUUUACACUACCACACCCAUCAGCACGUUCAAAAAUAAAAUGUCAAACAACAUUGAAGGACAGAGUCACUUUCUCUAAGUUUCUUUUGAGAACUAAAUUGUUAGAAGUAAAUUACUCUGACAAAAUAACUUAUAGUGCUCAAAAUGUUUUUAAGUAAAAGAUGUUGGCUUUAUAAGGAUACAUCUUAUAGUUCUAUAAAACAGGCAAUACCAUGGGCCGUGAGCUCUCUAUAAAGUUUAAUACAACAUGAUUUAGGUAUAUUAACAAGAUUCAGGGUACAAAUAGCUUAAAUAGAGAUGCCAAAAGAAUAAACUAUUAGUUUCCUGAUUGUCAAUCAUAUGUAAAUCUUCAAGUAUAAAACUCUAAUGCCACAAUAACUUAAGAGAGAAAUACCCUAGAAACCAUGUCAGUAUAGUAUUUUUCCAGCUUGGCUGGUAAGAUUGGAAACAGUUUGUAAUUGUAAUUCUGUGCUGUUUGGAGCUGCCCAUUGAACACUUCAUUGUCUCUGAUAUUUAAAGGAUAAAAAACAUCACUUGCCUCUGAAACUGGAACCAAUUAUUCUACCAAGAUAUAAGCUAAAGGAUCAAAGCCCUCAACAGUUCAUUGAAACCACUAGAAUAUAAACUUGAUAAAAAUAGUUUCAAUUCUGCUAAAAAUUUUUCCUAUUGCCAAUAGUAUGUAACUGUAUUACUUUGAACAUUAGCCUAUGAUAAUUCAAAAAAGUUAUCUUGGUGUCUCAAAGUUAUGUCUACUGCAGGGGCCACAGACUGAAAAACCAGAUAAUCAUUUAAACAGGUGCACAACUCAUGUGUGACAACUGGGAACGGUGG